AUUCCAGCUCCAAUAGCGAAUACUAAUUCUGCUGCAGUUAAAAAGCUCGUAGUUGAACUUCUGGUAGGACAGAUCCGGCCUUUGGAUGAAUGUCCAUUGUAUGCUGUGUGUCUUGUCUGGCCAUCCUUUAUGUCUUUUAGGCGUAAUCUUUCACUGUAAAAAAAUUAGGGUGUUUCAAGCAAAAGUUAUUUGGAAUAUAUUAGUAUGGGAUGAUAAGAUAGGCUCUUGAGUGCUACUUUGUUGGUUUAUACACUUAGAGAAUGAUUAACAGGGACAGUCAGGGGCACUCGUAUUCCGCCGAGAGAGGUGAAAUUCUCAGACCAGCGGAAGACGAACCACUGCGAAAGCAUUUGCCAGGGAUGUUUACAUUA
rnacentral:rRNA from 1 species